UACGGAGGGUGCAAGCGUUGCUCGGAAUUAUUGGGCGUAAAGGGUAGGUAGGUGGUCUCGUUUGUCUGAGGUGAAAGCCUUGAGCUUAACUCAAGAAGUGCCUUAGAAACGGCGAGACUAGAGGUCUGGAGAGGGUCGUGGAAUUCCCGGUGUAGCGGUGAAAUGCGUAGAGAUCGGGAGGAACACCAGAGGCGAAAGCGGGCGACCUGGACAGAUACUGACACUCAACUACGAAAGCGUGGGGAGCAAACAGG
rnacentral:rRNA from 1 species